GACGAACGCUGGCGGCGUGCUUAACACAUGCAAGUCGAGCGGAGCGGCGAACGGGUGAGUAACGCGUGAGUAACUGCCCCCCUCUCUGGGAUAACAGUUGGAAACGGCUGCUAAUACCGGAUAGUGGGGGAUGACUCGCGUCCUAUCAGCUUGGUGGUGGGGUAGUGGCCUACCAAGGCGACGACGGGUAGCCGGCCUGAGAGGGGGACCGGCCAGAGUGGGCUGAGCUACGGCCCAAACUCCUACGGGAGGCAGCAGUGGGGAAUAUUGCACAAUGGGGGAAACUCGGAAGCAGCAACGCCGCGGGCGGGGUGAGGGCCUUAGGAUUGUAAACCGCUUUCAGCCAUGACGCGGGAGUGGCAGAAGAAGCACCGGCUAAUUACGUGGCAGCAGCCGCGGUAAUUC
rnacentral:rRNA from 1 species